GACGAACGCUGGCGGCGUGCCUAAUACAUGCAAGUCGAACGAGUGGCGGACGGGUGAGUAAUGCUUGGGAAUCUGGCUUAUGGAGGGGGAUAACUACGGGAAACUGUAGCUAAUACCGCGUACCAUAGGUUGAGCCCAAGUGGGAUUGGGUAGUUGGUGAGGUAAAGGGCCACCAAGCCGACGAUUUCUAGCUGGUCUGAGAGGAUGACCAGCCACACUGGGACUGAGCCACGGCCCGGAUUCCUACGGGAGGCAGCAGUGGGGAAUAUUGCGCAAUGUGGGCAACCUGACGCAGGCAUGCCGCGUGACUGAAGAAGGCCUUCGGGUUGUACAGUUCUUUCGGUAGCUGGGCGUUAACGACAGAAGAAGCACCGGCUAACUCCGUGCAAGCAGCCGCGGUAAUAC
rnacentral:rRNA from 1 species